rnacentral:rRNA from 1 species
AUUGAACGCUGGCGGUAUGCUUAACACAUGCAAGUCGAACGGAAACGAAACUAGCUUGCUAGUUGGCGUCGAGUGGCGGACGGGUGAGUAACGCGUAGGAAUCUACCUAGUAGUGGGGGAUAGCCCGAAGAAAUUCGGAUUAAUACCGCAUAAUCUAUUCGUAGUAAAGUGGGGGACUUUCGAGCCUCACGCUAUUAGAUGAGCCUGCGUAAGAUUAGCUUGUUGGUAGGGUAAAAGCCUACCAAGGCUACGAUCUUUAGCUGGUCUGAGAGGAUGAUCAGCCACAUCGGGACUGAGACACGGCCCGAACUCCUACGGGAGGCAGCAGUGGGGAAUAUUGGACAAUGGGGGCAACCCUGAUCCAGCAAUACCGCGUGUGUGAAGAAGGCCUGAGGGUUGUAAAGCACUUUCAAUUGUGAAGAAAAGUUAGCGGUUAAUAACCGUUAGCCUUGACGUUAACUUUAGAAGAAGCACCGGCUAACUCCGUGCC